rnacentral:ncRNA from 22 species
CUCUUAUCAAGAGUGGCGGAGGGACUGGCCCGAUGAAGCCCGGCAACCUGCAGAGCACGUCUCUGCGUGGUGCCAACACCUGCGGCGAAAGCCGAGUGAUAAGAG